rnacentral:rRNA from 1 species
ACCUACGGGGGGCAGCAGUGAGGAAUAUUGGUCAAUGGGCGGGAGCCUGAACCAGCCAAGUCGCGUGAGGGAAGACGGUCCUACGGAUUGUAAACCUCUUUUGCCGGGGAGCAACGGGGUCCUUGCGAGGGCCCAAUGAGAGUACCCGGAGAAAAAGCAUCGGCUAACUCCGUGCCAGCAGCCGCGGUAAUACGUAGGGAGCGAGCGUUGUCCGGAAUUACUGGGCGUAAAGGGCGCGUAGGCGGGAACUUAAGUUAGAUGUGAAAACUCCGGGCUUAACCUGGAGACUGCAUUUAAAACUGGGU